UUACGUCAUCCCGAAGCGACAAAAGUAUGGUGGGGGUGGAGUUGUGAUUGUACCUCGGUGGUGUUAGGGGCGGCUAGCGAAGGUGUCAUGGCUGCUGCCACGGAGUUUAGUCGCCCAAGCAACAAUGACAGGAUCCUAGAGCGAAGCUGCAGUCCCAACCACUCCCGAGAGGUGCUGUGCGAAAUCUUUCGCUCCCUGCACACCUUGGCUGGACAGCUUAACCUCAAAGAUGAUGUGGUGAAAAUUACAAUCGAUUGGAACAAGCUCCAGAGCCUCUCGGCAUUCCAGCCUGCAUUGCUCUUUAGAGCCCUUGAGCAACACAUUUUAUAUUUACAGUUUGAACGCCAGCAGAUGGAAUUGUGUUCUCAGCCUUUUUUAGCAAAACUUCAGCCUGUGAUUAAAGAGGAGAAUUCAGCUGCUAUUGAAGAGAUAGGAAAAACAGAAACAAGGAACAAGAAUGAACUAAAUGCCAAAUUUCCCCCUGGUGACCGACAAGAGGAAGAAAAGCACAAAGAUUGUGAUUUAGGAGAUGUGAAAAAGAUACAAGUUCAUUUUGAUUCAGAAGUAGUUCAAAUAAAGGCUGGAAAAGCAGAAAUUGACAGAAGAAUAUCUGCGUUUAUUGAAAGAAAGCAAGCUGAAAUCAAUGAAAACAACGUCAGGGAAUUUUGCAAUGUUAUUGAUUGUAAUCAAGAAAAUAGUUGUGCAAGAACUGAUGCCGUUUUUACACCUUACCCCGGAUUUAAAAGUCACGUAAAGGUUUCUAGAGUUGUGAAUACAUAUGGACCACAGACUAGACCUGAAGGAAUUCAAGGGUCAGGUCAUAAAUCUAACAGCAUGCUUCGAGACUGUGGUAAUCAGGCUGUAGAAGAACGACUCCAAAAUAUUGAGGCUCACUUGCGAUUGCAGUCAGGUGGUCCAGUUCCAAGAGACAUUUAUCAGAGAAUUAAAAAACUUGAAGAUAAAAUCCUUGAAUUGGAAGGCAUCUCUCCUGAAUAUUUUCAAUCUGUGAAAUAAUCUGAUUGCUUAAUGACAUAGAACGUAUUGAUAGUCUACAGAUUAAAUUGUUAUGACCACAAGAUGAAGUGUAUUUUCAUCCAGUGUAUAAAAGUUACCCCUUGGGAAAGUAGGAGACUGAGCAACAAAGGAAUUAAGCAUUAAGCUCUUACUUGCCUCAAGACCCCACCACAGAACUUUUCUGGAAAAAGAAGAAAAGUUCAGCCACCUCAACAGAACUAUUCCCUGGCUGAACUUGAUGAGAAAAUUAGUGCCCUCAAACAGGCCCUGCUCAGAAAAUCAAGAGAAGCAGAAUCCAUGGCAACUCACCACCUUCCAUGAAAAACUCCUCUCCUCAUCAUUUUACUUUUUUAUGUACAUGUGUAACUUACUCUGUAAUUAAUUAAAUGGAUAUGUAUAUAUAGAUAGAUAGAUAGCUAUCAAUGUGAAGUCAAGGUAGCAAAAACUCUUCAAGUAUUCCAGUGAGUUUUGAAAUAAUGUAUUGAAAAUAGCAUUGUUGGAAACUAUUCUGUUUUAAAGGAGGCAUUUUGGAAAUUUAAAAAAAUGUACUUUAUUUUGGUGGACCACAGAAAGAAAGAUUAUUGUGAUACUGAUAUAUAAAAGGACUUUAUAAAAUUGACUAACCAGUUUAUUAGUUUAAAUUAGUACUUUGUACUUACUGGGCAUUCAACAAAAAUUUAUUGAUUGAAAUGAAUUUUUAAUGUGUAUAUAAACUUGUAGUUUUAUUUUUCAGAUGUCAGUGUUAAUGUAAAUAAAUAAUAAAUCCAGCUUUAUUCCUUUACUUAAGGUGAUCUUGAACAAAUUACUUCAUCUUAUUUUGUGCCCUAAUUUCUUAAUUGGUAAAAGGGGAAUGAUAAUAAUAGAACCUACUUCAUUGGUUUUGAAGAAUUGGUGAGAUGGUUUUGAAAUUGUCCCGAAGAAAUUGCUCAGUAAAUGUUACCUGUUAUUAGUAAAUGAAACCUGGCCUGUCUUUGGACAUUAGUAAAGGUGUUACAAAGAAUUAUAUUGUCAUAGUUGGAAAUUAAACAUUUAAAAGAUGCAA